rnacentral:lncRNA from 1 species
CCUCUCCAACCUCAAGUUCACCAAGAGCAUGACGAAUAUGGGAACCCUCCGCACCAAGAGCAAUACGAGGUUGACAAUCAUCCACGUCAAGGGCGUCAUCAUCAUCCCCGACCCCAACACAAUGAAGAGCAACGCUAUGGCAAGCUCAAGUUCACCAUGCCCAAGUUCAAUGGAAGCAAUGAUCCCAAAGAGUACCUUUCAUGGGCAUUGAAGGUCGACAAGAUCUUUCAUUUGCACAACUAUGAAGAAGAGAAGAAGAUCGCCCUGGCAUCCCUUGAGUUCCAAGAAUAUGUGCUCAUAUGGUGGGAACAAGUCCUUGAGCGCCGAGAAGCAAGAGGUGAACCACCAAUCACCACAUGGGAUCAAAUGAAGGAUGUCAUGCGAGUAUGCUUUGUGCCAACAUACUACAACCGCGGCCUCUUCAAGAAACUUCAACUCCUCAAGCAAGGAACAAAGAGCGUUGAAGAAUACUACAAGGAAAUGGAGAUUGCCAUGAUAAGAGCCAAUGUCACGGAAGAUGAUGAGCAAACUAUGGACCGUUUCUUGAAUGGCCUCAAUCAUCCCAUCAAGAAGAUUGCCGACUUCCAACCCUACUCCAACCUUAUUGAGCUCGUGUACCAAGCUACCAAAGCGGAACGUCAAGUGAAAGGUGAUUUCAAGUAUGCCAAGUACUCUUCCAAGAGUUACGGCUUCUCCAACAACCAAGCUUCAACGACUCCAACACCUUCUACCUCAACCAAGCCAUCUACAAGCAACGGUGACAAGUCAAGUUACAAGAAAACUUCGACACCCUCAAGUCAUCCUCCUACUACAAGCAACUUCAAGCCGAGAGCUUCAUCAUCCACUCCAACUGAUGAGACCAUUAAGACAAGUUCCAUCAAGUGUUUCACAUGCGGUGGCCGAGGCCACAAGUCCUUCGAGUGUACCAACAAGCACACCAUGAUACUCAACGACGACGGAACCUAUGAAUCCAUGAGUGAAGAGGAGAUGGAAGCCCUUAGCAAGUGGCCAUGCACCGGCACGUGAACAAAGAUGAAGAUGAUCAAGUCUUUUGUGAUGAGGAUAUGAGCCCUGCUCUCGUUGUCUGCAAGGUCUUGACUCUUCAACAUCAACAAGACGAAGAUCAAAGAUGCCAUAUUUUCCACACCAAGGCUGGCAUCAAUGGACGGUCCGUCAAGGUCAUCAUCGAUGGAGGUAGUUGCCAUAACUUGGCAAGUGAAGAACUAUGAUCCAAGCUCCAUUGGUCAAGAUGAAGCACCCGCACCCCUACAAUGUUCAAUGGCUAAGCGAUUCUGGCACUAUCCAAGUCGAGCAUACUGUCAAAGUUUCUUCAAGAUGGGAGCAUAUGAAGACACUUUGGAAUGUUAUGUCAUCCCGAUGUCCGUUUGCCACCUCCUUCUUGGUCGACCAUGGCAAUUUGACCGAGGCAUCAUCCACAAUGGGCGUACCAAUCACUAUAGCUUCAAGAUGAAAGGAAAGGAGUAUGUGCUACGGCCUAUGUCUCCAAGUCAAGUGAUGCCGACAAGCAGGCCACCCAUCAUAGAGAAAAGAGUGAGAAAGUGACCCACCCAAAAGAGAGUGAGCGCCACAAGCCAAAAUAGAGUGCCUCCAUGAUGAGAGACAAGAAAAACUUAGUCCUAUUUGCCACCAAAAGUGAGAUGGGAGAAGUGUGUGAGAACCCAUCAAGUGUUACGCACUAUGUCCUUUUGUGCAAGGAUGAGGCACGAAAAACUAAUACCUCUCACAAUCUACCUUUAGUGUUGUCUUCUCUUUUGCAGGAACUCCAAGAUGUUUUCCCCGACGAGCUACCUCUGGGUCUACCUCCACUACGAGGAAUUGAACACCGAAUCGACCUCAUCCCUGGAGCACCUCUUCCUAACAAGGCUCCCUACCGCAUUAAUCCCGAGGAAACCAAGGAGAUCCAACGGCAAGUACAACAACUCAUCGACAACGGCCAUGUAUGUGAAAGCUUGAGCCCUUGUUAUGUCCCGGUACUCCUUGUUCCUAAGAAAGAUGGCACUUAUCGCAUGUGUUCCGAUUGUCGUCCCAUCAAUGCUAUCACCGUUCGAUAUUGUUACCCUAUUCCACACCUAGAUGAUAUGCUUGAUGAGCUUAGCGGAGCCACCAUUUUCUCUAAGAUUGAUCUUAAGAGUGGCUACUAUCAAAUACGCAUCCAAGAAGGUGAUGAAUCGAAAACCGCAUUUAAGACCAAAUUUAGCUUAUAUGAAUGGCUAGUUAUGCCAAUGGGUUUAUCCGAAGCACCUGGUACUUUCAUGCGAGUCAUGCAUUUUGUUCUUUGACCCUAUAUUGGUGUAUUUGUUGUGGUCUACUUUGACGAUAUUCUUGUCUCUUGCAAAUCCCUCAAAGAUCAUGUCACCCAUCUUAGAACCGUGUUGCAAACCCUUCGGAAGGAGCGCCUUUAUGCUAAUAUGGACAAAUGCCUUUUUGGUGUUGAUAAGCUUGUUUUCUUGGGUUUCGUUGUGUCUUCUAAGGGUGUUCAUGUAGAUGAAUCUAAGAUCAAUGCUAUUAAAACUUGGCCCCAACCAACCAACUUGCAACAAGUGCGUAGUUUUCUUGGGUUAGCCGAUUUCUAUUGUAGAUUUGUGAAGGAUUUUAACACCAUUGCUUCACCUUUACAUUCUUUGAGUAAGAAAAUGUGCCUUUUGUUUGGGGACCAUCCCAAGAUACCGCAUUUAAGAGCUUACGAAUUUGCUUACUCAUGCUCCCGUGCUUGCAUUAACCAACUUUGACAAACAUUUUGAAAUUCAUUGCGAUGCUAGUGGUAAUGGCAUAGGAGUUGUGUUAACGCAAGAGAAGCGCCCGAUAUCAUACUUUAGUGAGAAACUUUCUGGAGUGCAGCUCAAUUAUCCCAUCUGUGACAAAGAGCUAUAUGCUUUAGUGCGAGGUUUGCAUGAAUGGGAACAUUAUCUUCGCCCUCAUGAAUUUAUCAUCCAUACCGAUCAUGAAAUGCUCAAGUACCUCAAGGGUUAAAUUAAGUAGAACAAGCGUCAUGCUAAGUGGAGUGAAUUCAUUGAGUCAUUUCCUUAUGUCAUCAAGUACAUCAAAGGUAAGGAAAAUGUUGUGGCGGAUGCUCUUUCCCGCAUAUGCAUGCUUGUCAUCAAACUUGAAUUGAAUGUCAUUGGUUUUGAGCACAUUCAAGACUUGUAUGCGCAUGAUCCUACUUUUGCUAUUCCUUAUGCCAAGUGUUUGACGCAUACAUCAUGGGAACACUAUUAUAUCAAGGAUGAUUACCUUAUGAGAGCUAACAAACUUUGCAUUCCCCAGUCUUCUCUUAGUUUGCUCCUUUUGCAAGAGGCUUAUGGAGGUGGACUAAUGGGACACUUUGGAUGCGACAAGACAUUUGCUACGCUCUCUAAGAACUAAUUUUGGCGCAAGAUGUUCCGCGACGUCUCACGCUUCACCAACCAAUGCUCUGCAUGUCGUAAAGCUAAGUCAAAAGCUCAAUCCCAUGGUCUUUACAUGCCCAUCCCAAUUCCAUAUCAUCCAUGGGAAGAUAUUAGCAUGGAUUUUGUGCUUGGUUUGCCUAGAACUAGAAAUGGCAAAGAUUCCGUGUUUGUUAUUGUGGACCGAUUCUCUAAGAUGGCUCAUUUCAUUCCAUGCAACAAGAUAGACAAUGCUUCACAUAUUCCAAAUUUUUUUGUAGGGAAAUCUUGCGCCUCCAUGGAGUGCCAAAGAUGAUUGUCUUAGACCGCCACGUCAAGUUCUUGAGUUACUUUUGGAAGACUCUAUGCGCCAAGCUCGGAAUCAAGCUCUUGUUCUCUUCGGCAUACCAUCCUCAAAACGAUGGCCAAACGGAGGUGACAAACCGAACACUCUCCACUCUACUAUGCGUGUUGAUCAAGAGGAACAUCAAGGAGUGGGAGGAGUGCCUACCCAUCACCGAGUACACCUACAGUCAUCUACUGUUUCAACCCGUUGUCCCCAUUGGACAUUCUUCCUCUACCACUACAAGAGCGCAUCAACAUGGACGCGAGUGACCGAGUGAACUACCUCAAGAAGAUGCAUGAAGAUACACGGCACACCAUCAAGCGCCAAGUACAACGACUCGCGACCAAGCUCUGUCGGAUAUCGGGUUCCGGCAAAACCCUUAAGGUUCAAACACUGGGGUGCGCACAAAGAUUUCUCCCUACCGAAACACGCCCUCAGCCUCGCCAUGAUCUCUAAGCUAUCUCGAUGAACAACACAAGAGACACAAGAUUUAUACAAGUUCGGGCCACCGUUGUGGUGUAAUACCCUACUCCUGUGUGUGGUGUGGUGGAUUGCCUCUUGGGCUGAUGAUGAACAAUACAAGGGAAGAACAGCCUCGCGAAGAGAGGUGUUCUUGAGAUGGUGAGGUGUGUAGAUGAACUUAACUUGUCCCUUCUACUAUGGUGGCUAGCCCUAUUUAUAGAGGCCCUGGUCCUCUCCCCAAAUAUUGAGCGGGAAGGGAUCCAACAACGGCCAUUUUGAAAGGGGACAGCUAGUACAAGCUAUCCUGACUAAAGGUGGUCUUCGCCUAUGAAAGGCACUGGUGAUGACGCCGUUUUGGGCUCCAUGGUGACCUCCAUCUUGCCGUCCUGCUGGUCUUGGUCUUGUUGCACUGAUAUGGAAACCUUUGCCUGAUGCCUCGGUACUCCGCGCCUGCGCUUGCCCCCUUAGCACCAAAGGGGAAACGAGGACACUGCACGGGCUGGCGCCCGCCUGGCCUCGGUUGUCAUGGCCUGCGUCAUGGGAACCUCGCGAGGUACCCCUUGCCUUGAUCUCUCCGCCUCCUCGCGAGCCUGCCUGGUGAGGCCGCUCCUGAGAAGGCCUUGUGUCGUCCGCCCCAUGAGGCUUGGCCCCUCGCGAGGGUCUUGAGUGUUUGGUUGAUGAAGACGGGCCGUACUGGGCCACUGGUGGAUCCACGCCAUGGGCUGCAGGCAAGUCUAGGGACCCCCGUUCCCAAAACGGCCACAGUAGCCCCCGGGCCCAAGGCGCACUCGGACUUGGCUUAGCGGCGAAGCCAAGGGGCAAGUGCGGAGCGCCGCGGGCCCCAACAGCCUGCGGCCUUGGUCAACGUGUGGCGACUGAUUGGACGUGGGCGUCUGCGCUUCCCCAUGCUGCCUCGGCAACUGCCCGACUGACAAAAGGCUGGCACGAGCAAGGCUUGCCUUCAUUGCUUUCCUUUGUCUUGCUCCAGAUCCCCUUCCUUGCUCCUUGCUUCCACAAUCUCCAGAUCCGCUUAGAUCCCUUCCCUCUCAGCGAGCGAUGGCAUCCCGCAAGGUUAAGGUUGACGCGCAGCCAUCUUGGUAUGAGCUGGCCCUGGAUGUGCCCAAUGUCUCGGAGAAGAAUCUCGCCGCCACGCGCCUGCUGACGGCGGUGGAGGGUAAUGAAAAGGGGGAGACCGAACUCCGGGCCGGCUCCGCCGAGCCGGAGGCUCAGGGGAGCACUUUCUACCCUUCUUCACGAACGCCAUUGUCGCAGGCCUGGUUCCUCCUUUCUCCAACUUCUUCUACGCCGUCCUCAGCCAUUACAGGUUGCAUGCCCUUCAUCUCCAUCCCAACUCCAUUCUUCUCUUGUUGAUUUUCUCCUACUACUACGAGGCACAUGUUGGGGUGAUGCCAUCCGUGGCUCUGUUGCGCCACUUCUUCCUCCUCUGAACCAACGGCGAACACACCUCGGCAUGCGCCAAUUUCGUCGCGUACGGCAAGGACAACGUAAUCUCGAAGGCUGGGAAGAGGGCCGACAACUUCUGGAGAAAGUGGGUCAUGAUGGACGCCAAGUGUGUCCACCCCCGGUUGGCACUGCCCACGAGGAUGCCCCAGCCUGGUGAAGGGUGGUCUCAUGCGAAGCUUGCUGACGAUCGGGCGAAGUUGGUGCUGGAGAAGAUGACCACCGACUUGAAGCCGGGCAACGCGAAGGCGGCAAAGCUGACGGGGGCCGCACUCCUAAGGGAGUUCCCGACGCAGCGGGUGGCUCCGCUCCAGGCGCGCUCGUGCCCCUUAUGGACGCUUGAUAGUGCAGACGACAAGCUUCGCCUGAACUCGGUGGAUCUGGCUGAUGAUGAGUUGGCCUCAGCUCCUUGCCUCCUGGUCAGAGACGACCAGGAAUGUCCGGUGGGUGCCCCUGCCCCCUUGUUCCAACGCGAGGCUAGGGCACAGGUGGUGGCUACUAUGCCCACCUUUGAUGGAUGCAGCCUGGUGUCGGUGGCGCUCCCUGUGGCCCACGAGGCAACGACACCAGUGGACGUGUCUUCGGGCGACUCCCGCAGAGGAGGAGGAGAGGAACAAGAUGAGGAGCACGACUCGGAGACGACCCUCGAGGGGACCGGGGAGACCUCCCCCCCACACAGGGCCAACAUCCUCUGCACCUUGCCAGACGACGACGAGGUCAAUGAUGACCAAGAGGAGGAGGAUCCGCCCGCGAUCCCGAAGAAGGACAGAUCGGCGUUGACCUCUCGAGAGGCUGCCUCUGCCCAGGUGAUAAGCACAUUUCUUAUAUACUAUUUGGGCACACAAAUUCACCUUUUAUUGAGAUAUAUCCAUCCAUUCUUGCUAUGACUUGUUGAAUAUUCGAAUGAUAAUCAUAAAAGAGAAUGUUGACUAGUGAAUUGUUUAUUUUGCAGAAAAGUGCGCAAAGGCACUAUAAUCGUCAAGACUUCUACUAUGUGGCUAACGAGAAGAGAGAAGGGCAUGAAAGAAAUACGUCAAGGCUUGAGCGUGAAGGAAAGAAGUAAUGUAGGGGAGCAAACUAAAAGAAGAGGAGGAUCUUCUUGGGAAGAAAGAAGAAAGGAGGAGGGCCAAAGUAAAAAAAGAUAGAACAGAGGAGGGGAUCAAAAAUCCCUAGCGCAGCCGAUCCCCAUCGGGCCUGGCAUCUCACCUCUCUCCCUCACCCCUCCUUCUCCACCACCGGCCGCCGCCGCGGCCAGGCCGGCGUGGCGGUGCGCCUGCUGCUCCUCCACUCAGCCACGAGCACCAUCCGCCGCACCAUCCAUCCAUCCCAGCCGCGCCACGCCAUCCAUCCACCACUCCACCAGCGCCCACCUCGCGCGCCCCUCCUGCCGCUUCCUCUCUGAACCUGCUGUUGCUGCUGCAUCUUCCUUCUUCCUCUCGACCUCCUGUUGCUCUUCUCCAAGCACCGCUGCUGCUCCUUCCUUGCAACCCCCUGCUAUUGUUCAUCCUCUCCACCUCCUUGCGCCUCCCUGCCGGUACCCUUCUCUGCUCAAAACUGCUGCUGCUUGUGCGCUCCAGCUGCUCCUUCUUCUCCUGCCUACUGCUGUUUCUUCUUGCCCACAUCACUUUUGCUGCUCCUCUUCUCUGCCUCGCUACUGUUUUUCUUACCUAAACCUCAAAACUGCUGAUGUUCUCUUCUAAACAACAAAACUGCUGCCGCUCUCUUUCUUUCUCUUUCUCUCACUCUUUCUAUGUGUCUGUGUGUGUAUUUGCUGAUAGUUACUACUGGAUGCUCGACCAAUUACAUUCAAAUUAGUAUUAGCUCUCUAUGUGUCUGUAAGUCAGUUAGUGUACUGUUCUGUUCUGAAAAGGUGAAACUUGUGUAUUGUUCUGAACACCCAAUUUGUGUUUUGUUAUGUAUUAGUUUCUGCAAUAUAUGUGAAGUUGUGAGUUGUUGAGCUGAUCAUUUUCGAUUAGACUUGUAUUGUCAUGAAUUUUGAGUCAUAUAUAUAUAUAUAUAUAUAUAUAUAUAUAUAUAUAUAUAUAUAAAUUCGGUCAAUUCUAGUAACUGUGGUGUUCCAUAUUUGUGAAUCUCCUGUACAAAUGAGUUCCAUUGCUAUAGAACUCAAUGGUGCUCUACAUCAUCUUAAAUGUCUGCUUGUGAACCAUGUACCAUAAUCUUUCUGUCCCUUAUCCUUUAUGCUUGCCUGUGUUAGUAUUUUAAUUUCUCAAGCAUAAUGAAACUACUAUAAAGACAGAGAGUAUAAUCUGAACCUUCCUUUGCUUCUAUCGUUUUCUUUUGUCGAUGAUUUUUCCCGAAUGAUCUUAGUUAGUCUAGAUUUAAUAUUCUGCCUUCAUCACCCAAUAUUGUCUUACCUAGAUUUAGCCAAGCGUUGUUGCCGUCGCCUAGUCCCUGUGGAGAACACAACAUCCAUAGUUUGGGCAUAAAAACCCUGCUAUAUUACAAACGAUCACUUUGGCGCCGUUGCCGGGGACUAGCGUCGAGCGUUUGUGUGAGGCUUUAGACUAGGUUUAGCUUGUUUCCUUUUUGUGCUUUAUAUAUUUGUGAUAUAUCCCUAGCCACUAACCCCUGUUCUAGUUAGUAUCUUUUUGUCUUCUUUUCCUUUUUGCAGGUUGGAUUAUCCUCUCGGUUAUGGCUUACUAUUCAGAUCAUCAGGAUUAUGCGAGCAACACUACAAACAACACGGAAAGUGUUCAAGAACUGAUAGGUAAGAUUUCCCAUCGAUUAGAUGAUUUAGCUUGGCAGCGAGAAGGAGUUUUUGAGGAUAGGCCUAGCUCUUAUGAUCCUUAUUCUAGAGGCUAUCCUUAUGUUGCUCCUACCUGCCAUAUUUGUGGAUUUCAGGGCCAUUCGCCCGCUGAAUGUCAGCAUGGUUACUCCCAUCCUCCGGAUUGUUUUGGCAUGAGCUUCGCUCAACAGCAUAGCUCAUACCAAAACAAUUACACACAUGGGUGGCCUGAAAACCAGAAUAUGUCAUAUAGGAGCAAUAACCCUGAGAUCUCAUCGUUUGCUUCUAGUACUCAUAUGUAGGGAUUUAGGUACAAUGAGGAGAGCCACAAUUAUGCACCAAAACAAUUCCAUUCAGCUCCUACUCAUAUACCACAGCACCAGGAGAUGUUGCCAAUGGAGUUAAAUGGUCCUCCAUUUGGUCAACCAACAACUCCAGCAACUGCUGAGCAAUCUCAUGUGCAAGUGCCCACUCAAGAUGAGUUCGAUGACAUAGACAAGCUCACAUUGCUUAGUCUUGAGUUCACUUGGAGUGCCGAGGAUGAUCCUAUUAGGAAGGUUAUACUAGAUGAAAUGAAGAAGAUCAAGAGUGGAAAAGAGCUAGUGGAAGAAGUAAGGAAGAUUGAGAAGAACAUCAACGCUGGCAGCACUAUUUCUUCACAACUUGAGUUGAGUGUGGCUGAGAUAUCCAUGGAUACAUGUGAGGUUCCAACACCUUCACAUUUCGUUGAGCAAGUUAGCAAGUGCCUUGAGCAAGAGAUACCUCAGAUUGAAGAAGAUGAACUAGAAGACAAGGAACAAGAUGGUCAAGAGCUGCAAUUCCCAAGUGAUCAAGUUGAAGACUCAUCAUCUAUUACUCCUGAAGAAGUACAAGAAGCUGCUGUAGAUGAAGAUGAAGAACAUGAGAUUCAUUUGCCUAUUGUCAUACCAGAGCGUGAUGUGUCAGGUUUACUCAAUCCUCUUGAUGACAUGAUGCCUUGUGAUUUCUUGGCUACCACCUUGCAUUACAUGAUACCAUCACUUACGAUCGAUUUGAAAACUCAUUUGCUUGGAUAUGAUGAUAUAUACCCUGUUAGUGGCAUUGCUCUCAUUUGUGAUGAUCAAAAUUACUUUCCUCAUGCUAGUCUUGAGCUUAAUGAUAAAUGUCAUCCUCGUGUGAGUAUUGACCAUGCUGAUUUCUGCCAUCCUAAACAUGUGCUUUAUAGUUAUGCUUAUAUAAUUGGAUAUUCCAUUGAUGACUUGGAGGGCAUCGACCGUAUCACUUGUAGUUGUUUGUGUGAGUCCUAUUUCGGGCUUUUGCUACUGCACUGUUUACUACAUGCUGACCAGGUUCGAGGUGACAUUCCUUGGGAUCCUGGUGGAGUCAGAGCAUGGCUAUGAGGGGAGCACAAACAGGGAACACAAACAAAGAAGAGUGGAGAGAAGAAAGUAGGAGAGAAGAGUAUACAAAUACCAGGUGAUUCUGUUCCACUUGAAGCAACCUUUAGAAAAUUUAGUACGAGAACUGGCAUUUUAUUGCAUUGAAACUCUUUUUGCAUUGUGACACCUUACUCUUCACUGCAAAGUAGGAUUCACUCCAAGAAGAUUGUUGAUUCUCUUAAUACUAAAACUAUGCAGCUGUAUUCUUCUUAUGGUAAUUUGUGAUAAUGAAUACUUUAUACCUCCAUGUAAAUGUUCAAUGGGAAUGCCUUGAGUCUAAGUGAAACCUACUAAUGAAUUGAUGUGCUGUGUCUGACUGUCCCAAGUUAAGCUAAGUAACUGGUGGCACUUAAGUAGUAGCUAUGAUCUCUGGAUCUGUAGUAUGUGAAAAACAGUGCCAUUAGCUAUGGAUUCCUCUUUCAAUUAUUCCUGUUUUACUUAAGCUAAGUAAUUUUCAAAUAACUAAAUAAAAUAAUUAUAAUAAUUUAAGUCCGAUCGACCUAUAGUAGCAUGUCAUGUUCCCUGGAUCGGUGGCUUGUGAAAUCUGGUAGAUUGGACUGUAAAAAAAAUUUAUAUAAAAAUGCUAUUAUUUGUCGAACCAGGUGUAUACCAUGUUCUCGGGAUUGGUGGUAUGUUCCUUUGGGGAGAUAAUAACAAAAAAAUAUAAUAAUAAUUUGUCGAACCAGGUGUAUACCAUGUUCUCGGGAUCGGUGGUAUGUUCCUUCGGGGAGAUAACAAAAAAAUAUAUACUAAUAAUUUGGCCGAGCCAGGUGUAUACCAUGUUCUCGGGAUCGGUGGUAUGUUCCUUUGGUGAGACUGAUAUAAUAUCAUCACUUGUGCUUUAAAUUCAAUAAGUAACUUGUUUUUCUAAUUGAUUUUGGGGUCCCAGCUUAUCUCAGGGCUGAAGACAGAGCCAGCUCUUGAUUAUUAGUAUUCACUUUGACUCAAGGCCAUUGACUUGGAACAUUUACAGUGUGUUAUAAAAUAUUUCUUAUCACAAUUUAGCUUCAGUAGAGUACAUUUGCUUAGUUCCAGUAUUGUCGGAAUUACUAUCUAUCGGAAAGUGCAUCUUUACUAGGAAGUGUGAGUUGUGUCACCAUCAAUUUUUUUUCCUUUGCUUGAGGACAAGCAAAGAUUUAACUGUGGGGGAACUUGAUAAGCACAUUUCUUAUAUACUAUUUGGGCACACAAAUUCACCUUUUAUUGAGAUAUAUCCAUCCAUUCUUGCUAUGACUUGUUGAAUAUUCGAAUGAUAAUCAUAAAAGAGAAUGUUGACUAGUGAAUUGUUUAUUUUGCAGAAAAGUGCGCAAAGGCACUAUAAUCGUCAAGACUUCUACUAUGUGGCUAACGAGAAGAGAGAAGGGCAUGAAAGAAAUACGUCAAGGCUUGAGCGUGAAGGAAAGAAGUAAUGUAGGGGAGCAAACUAAAAGAAGAGGAGGAUCUUCUUGGGAAGAAAGAAGAAAGGAGGAGGGCCAAAGUAAAAAAAGAUAGAACAGAGGAGGGGAUCAAAAAUCCCUAGCGCAGCCGAUCCCCAUCGGGCCUGGCAUCUCACCUCUCUCCCUCACCCCUCCUUCUCCACCACCGGCCGCCGCCGCGGCCAGGCCGGCGUGGCGGUGCGCCUGCUGCUCCUCCACUCAGCCACGAGCACCAUCCGCCGCACCAUCCAUCCAUCCCAGCCGCGCCACGCCAUCCAUCCACCACUCCACCAGCGCCCACCUCGCGCGCCCCUCCUGCCGCUUCCUCUCUGAACCUGCUGUUGCUGCUGCAUCUUCCUUCUUCCUCUCGACCUCCUGUUGCUCUUCUCCAAGCACCGCUGCUGCUCCUUCCUUGCAACCCCCUGCUGUUGUUCAUCCUCUCCACCUCCUUGCGCCUCCCUGCCGGUACCCUUCUCUGCUCAAAACUGCUGCUGCUUGUGCGCUCCAGCUGCUCCUUCUUCUCCUUCCUACUGCUGGUUCUUCUUCCCCACAUCACUUUUGCUGCUCCUCUUCUCUGCCUCGCUACUGUUUUUCUUACCUGAACCUCAAAACUGCUGCUGUUCUCUUCUAAACAACAAAACUGCUGCCGCUCUCUUUCUUUCUCUUUCUCUCACUCUUUCUAUGUGUCUGUGUGUGUAUUUGCUGAUAGUUACUACUGGAUGCUAGACCAAUUACAUUCAAAUCAGUAUUAGCUCUCUAUGUGUCUGUAAGUCAGUUAGUGUACUAUUCUGUUCUGAAAAGGUGAAACUUGUGUAUUGUUCUGAACACCCAAUUUGUGUUUUGUUAUGUAUUAGUUUCUGCAAUAUAUGUGAAGUUGUGAGUUGUUGAGCUGAUCAUUUUCGAUUAGACUUGUAUUGUCAU